AAGGAUGUAGCGGUAUUGAUCUGU
rnacentral:siRNA from 1 species